ACGAACGCUGGCGGCGUGCUUAACACAUGCAAGUCGAACGGUGAAGGGAUCAGCUUGCUGGUUCUGGAUGAGUGGCGAACGGGUGAGUAACACGUGAGUAACCUGCCCCCUUCUUCUGGAUAACCGCAUGAAAGUGUGGCUAAUACGGGAUAUUCUGCGCCUGCUGCAUGGUGGGUGUGGGAAAGAUAUUGUUUCGGUGGGGGAUGGGCUCGCGGCCUAUCAGCUUGUUGGUGGGGUGAUGGCCUACCAAGGCGGUGACGGGUAGCCGGCCUGAGAGGGUGGACGGUCACACUGGGACUGAGACACGGCCCAGACUCCUACGGGAGGCAGCAGUGGGGAAUAUUGCACAAUGGGCGCAAGCCUGAUGCAGCGACGCCGCGUGAGGGAGGGAGGCCUUCGGGUUGUGAACCUCUUUCGCCAGUGAAGCAGGCCUGUCCCUUGUGGGUGGGUUGGCGGUAGCUGGAUAAGAAGCGCCGGCUAACUACGUG
rnacentral:rRNA from 1 species